GAUUACCUGAAUCCGCGAAUAUGGCGAAUAGAAGGACGAAUGUCGGGAAGUAGAAUGUUCGAAUAAAUCCUCUCAUCGUAAGAUUGCUCGAUUACACGAUCGAAUUCUUGGCUGUCCGACCGUUUCAUGCCUCGAGUCAUUGCGAGGUGAGUCUCGAUCAAAUACUUCUAUAUAUAAGGAUAUCCCCGGCAGUGAAAGGAUUUAUCGUCCCCGAGCAUCAUCCCCGACCCAGGAGGAUGAGCAUCUGAACGUGGGUGGCAAUGACCGGCCGGCUUUACUUCGACUACGUCAUCCAGCUUCAGAAGUUUCCACGAGAUACACGAUUCACCUCACGUUUCUUUUGAAAACGAAGGAAGGAUCAUGUAAAU